rnacentral:tRNA from 1 species
GUUCUGUUAGCUUAGUUGGUUAGAGCACUAAUCUGGCAAAUACAUAGUCGUGGGUUCCAACCCCAUCAGAACA